GCCUGGCGUUCGUUCAAUUCCCUUGGAAUGUAUCGCAGCCGUGGGACGUCUCUUUGCCGGGGAACUAGAUUACACGCCGAAUGAUUUUAGUAGAAUGCACGAUGGGACGUUAGAUUUGAAGCUGAUUAUCGUGGGCCAAGCUGAAUCAGCGAUCAAUAUCCAUAGGCCGAGGACGCAUAACAGCGACGCAGCUUGCGGCUCGUUUCAUUUAGCACGUCACUUUAACGAAGUUAAUACUUCGCGAGUCCAUGCUGUAUAAUGCCC
rnacentral:misc_RNA from 1 species